rnacentral:lncRNA from 1 species
GUGAAGAGGCGAUUAUCCGGGUUUGAUGUGACAAACCCUACGAGAAGUGUUCCUUGUUCGACAACCAAGAUCUCCGUGGCACGUGGGUGGGUGUGAGGUGGGUUUUGUCCGUUAACCGCAUAGUCAAUACGAACAAGGGAGAUUCCAAGAGUGUUUAACCCGAGAAGGUUGUUAACAUUGACGGCUGUCACGGUCGACCCAACUGGACUAGUUACGGGUCUUGCAUUUUGAAGCCCUGAGAAAAAGAAGUCAUCUGCUGUGACGAGCUUCGGAUCCUUGCAGAACUUUCCAUUAACAAAAACUGAAAAUAAGAAGAAAGAGUGUGAUUAAGAUAUGAGAAAAUUUAUUAAAAAUUAUGAGUAAAAAUGAUUUGCAAUCAUCAUGUACAUACUUCCAUUUGCUGAGGUGUUGGCGCUGACACAAAAGUCUUGAAGUUGGCUUGGAUCAGAAGCAAUGGCCAAUGGAAGUGUUAAAGCCAAGAGAGAGAGCACUGCAAGAUAUGAGAGACUCUUCAUUGCCAUAAAAGAUAGAGGAAGGUGUUUUUGUUUCUUGAAUAAGAUUGUAUUGAAGAGAUAAGAAACUUAUGAGACAUAGACUUCACUUUAUAGAUGAGUUUACGUGUUGAACUAAUCCAAGAAAUUAAAUAAUGAACUUGAUAUUUGAAAUGGUUAAAAAAGUUUUUUUUUUUUCAACCCAUUAUGUUUAAUUGAAAACUCAAAUUAAAAUGUAUACAUAAAUUUCUCCAACGAAACAUGAUGCACUUGAAUUUUGAAAUGGCAAGUGUUAGCGAGAAUAUAUACAUAGUUCAGCAAAUUGUACGUUCAAAGAUUAGUUUGUUGAAUAAUUCUUCCCUCAAUUUGUCAUUUAUUUCACUGAGUCAAACAAAAGGUCAAUGCGAUCGUGUUGAACUAAUCCAAGAAAUUAUGAACCUGAUAUUUGAAAUGGUUAAAGUAUUUAAACUUUGUUUUCUUUAACACAUCAUGUUUAAUUGAAAUUCAAGAUAAUAAAAUAUAUAUAUAUAUAUUUCCAACGAAACAUGAUGUACUUGAAGUUUGCUAUACAUAGUUUAGUAAAUUAUACGUUUAUUAGUAUAUACAUAGUAAAAUUAAAUAUGAAUCAAUGUUUAGGAAAUUAACAUAUAUAGAUCGAAAAAAACUAAGGUGAUUUAAAAUAAAACAAAAAAAUAUCCUAAACAUCAAAAAUCAAAACAAAAUAAUUUUAUCGAAUAAUAAAACUGUGUAAUAAUAAUAUUUGAGAAUGUAUUUGGAAAUUAGAAUAGUAUUGGUAGAUUGAAGAGUUUUUCAUUAGAAAUAAAAAGGAUUUUGUUUUUUUAAAUAAAUAUAUUUUAAAAUUAGAAUAAUUUUUAUGAGUUCGUAAGUUUCACAUUUUAGAAAAAUAAACAUUAAGAAUACAAUCUAGAAUUAUAAUAUACGUUAAAUUAUAUAUGUAGAAACUGCAAAAUUUUACAUUGAAAUCAUAUGUUUGUGAAUAGGAAUGAGUCCAUAUAUGAGAUUUCUUGUCUAUAAAGCAAUUUUAGAUGCACCAAAACAUGGUAGAAAAAAAACUUAUGACAAACAUCUCCUCAGAUUUCUGUUUCUGAUGUUUACUUUAAUAAAAAGAUCAUGAAACUUAUAAAAAAAAAUUGAGUAUUUAAUGAUAUGAAGGAGAAAAUAGAAAUGAUCUAAGGAGAAAAGAGAGUAAAUGUCGGAACACGACGAGUGAAUCAUAGAAGAUAACGAGAAAAAUUGUAGUGAAAAUGUGAGAAAUUUUUUACUAUUUUGGAAAAGUAAUGCAUAUGGGUAAAAUAAAAUCUUUUAAAAUUCAAUUAAGUAUAUUUUUACUCAAAAUAAAAAUUUCAAAUUAAGUUCUGCGCAACGUGUGGAUAUACAAUCUACUCCCUCUGUUCCUCCAAGUUUGAUGUUUUACAUAGUUUAGCAGAUUAUACGUUAUAUGUUUAGUUUGUUGAAUAAUUCUUCCCUCAAUUUGUCAUUUAUUUCACUAAGUCAAACAAAGGGUCAAUGUGAACGUGUCGGGGUGUGUUAAAAUGUUAACGUUUUUGGUUUUGUUUGAUGAUAAGACACGACUAUAUAAACCAUAUAUAUAUAAAUGGAUGCUGGGAAUAGUAUAGAGAUAAUUAAGAUAUAAAUAAUGUUUUCAGAUAUAUCGGUUCUAGCUAGGCCUGGGUACAAGAUAAGUACUUGCUAUUUUUUAAGUAUUUGUGACUUGCUUUAGCCCGUACAAGUAAUUAAAAUUUCGGCUUGAUACUCGAUUUUUUUGAGCAAGUACUUGCUAUAAUAAGUACCCGUCCAAAAUCUUGUUACUUGCAAGUAACUUGACUCAGCUUGUUACUUGCAAGGUAAAUUGACUUGAUUUGGCUUGUUACUUGCAAGAUACUUGUUACUUGAAGUUUUGAACUAAAUGAUUUAAUUUAAAUAAAAAAACGAAUCUCAUACAUAUUAUAAUUCAUUCCGAAUUCUAAACAUCAUAAAAUCACCAAAUAUUAAAGUUCAAAACAUCAUGGAAUCACAACACAUUCAAAAUUCCAAAAGAUAAGCAUUUUAAAACAAUUUGGUUCAAACUGAAACCCUAAAAAAAGAGAAACUGUGAAAGACUUCUCCGGAUUGUUUUUUAUUGUUUAUUUGCUAUUGGAUUUUUAAAGUAGUUGGGUUAUUUAGGUUUAAUGGGCUUUAAGUUGUAACUAAUGUUAGCCCUUAUAGUUUUAGUUUAUAACAUUGGGCUUCAUAGUUUUAGUAAUUGGGUUUAAUAGUGGUUGGGCUUUAUAGUUUAAAUAUGUCUUAUAAUACAAAACGGGGCGAGUAACGGGGCAAGUAUCAAAACGGGAUGAGUAACGGGCCAAAUAUAAAAAAAAAUUAUGAUACUUGAUACUUGACCCUUACUUGCAAGUAAUAUAAUUUAUCUACUUGAUACUCGACUUGACUAUAGCGGGUAUUUGAAUUUUCAACGCGAGUACGAACCAAAUAGCGUGUACAAAACGGAUAGCGAGUACUUGUGCCCAAACCUAGUUCUAGCUAAAUCCAUCGUCGAGCACUAGCCAAAAAUAUGUGUCACCCAUGAAUUCUCCUCUUAUAGUCAUCAUUAUGAUUUCUUUCCAAUAUUUUUUUGGUUUACGUUUUAACAUGUAAAAACAUUACACACAUUCGAGUAAAACUAAAAUGUUUAACAAAUCGUUAAUGCGGAAAAUAGUAAGUGGGACAAAAAUAUAUCUUAUCAUCGGCAACAACCAUAUAUACGUCGUUUCCCUUUUAAUAUAAAACUUAUUUCCUACCUUAUAGACCCGAACCCGAUGAUAUCGGGGAUCCAAAGCAUAGUCGUCGGCCCAAUUAAUUAUUUGGGCCCACAAUAAUUUUUUCGUCCAAGUGAAAGAAGAUAAUCCACUAGAUUUGUUUUUUUUUUUUUCUCUCUCUUUUGAUACAAAUUGAACAAACAAGACGAAGAAGAAAAGACUAAACAAAAAUCAAAUCAAGUUAAUUAAAACCGAGUAAGAACUUCCUAGGCACGUGACUCGUCUUUAAUUAACUUCUUUAGCUAAAAGAUUAGAUUCUUCGUCCUUGACUCCUCAAGGCGAAACCUCUUUCUUUCUGUUUUUAUGGUAAAAGAUUCUCAAGGCGAAACCUAUCAAUAAGCUACAGACUUUAAUAUAUUAAUUUAGGAAUGAAUAUAGAUUUUUUUUUUUUUUUUGUUGAAGAAAACUCCAUCAGAAUAGAGAUAAUUUGCAGUCGUGAAUUUCCAAAAUGACAUUAGGAACAUGAAUCGAUUUCUAAAAACAUAAAAAUAUUAAUUUAUUUAGAGUUUGAUUAAAAGCAUUGACAAACAUUCAUGCCAUGUAAUGAUAAGCGGAUAAUACAAGAUCCUUAUUCAGCUGGAAGUACAUAAAAGAAAAAGCAACUAAAAGCACAAUAUUAUUAUUUUUUGAACUUGUUCUGUAGAUCCACGACAAUCCUAGGGUCCAACUGGAACGCCCUUGCAAGAAUACUUGGGUUAAUCGCUGGGUUAGACCCAAACACUGUGUUAGCAAUAGUGAUGACACCAGGGUUUUGGCUGCUUAGAGCGGCGAAUGCAACCGCUGGUUCCUUGCCAAUGUUUGCUUGGAAAUGGAUGAGUCCCUCUGGAAACACAAAUACAUCACCCUCGUUAAGAACUUUAGUGAAGAGGCGAUUAUCCGGGUUUGAUGUGACAAACCCUACGAGAAGUGUUCCUUGUUCGACAACCAAGAUCUCCGUGGCACGUGGGUGGGUGUGAGGUGGGUUCUGUCCGUUAACCGCAUAAUCAAUACGGACAAGGGAGAUUCCAAGAGUGUUUAACCCUAGAAGGUUGUUAACAUUGACGGCUGUCACGGUCGACCCAACUGGACUAGUUACCGGUCUUGCAUUUUGAAGCCCUGAGAAAAAGAAGUCAUCUGCUGUGACGAG